rnacentral:misc_RNA from 1 species
GCCUGUUCGAGCGUCAUUAUACCCCUCAAGCCUAGCUUGGUGUUGGGGCCUGCCUACGGGCAGCCCUUAAAAACAGUGGCGGUGCAACGAGCUCUAAGCGUAGUAAGACCUUUCGCUAUAGUGCCCUGUGGACGCUAGCCAUCAACCCCUAAUUUUCUAUGGUUGACCUCGGAUCAGGUAGGGAUACCCGCUGAACUUAA